rnacentral:lncRNA from 1 species
AAGACUCAGCAACAGUGUGUUGUGUGUUCCUCUAUAUUUCCCAGACCCCUUUGCCAUUAGGUCGGCUCCGUAUGACUGAGUUCUAGCCAGUGAGGUAUGGGCAGAAGUGAUGUGUACCAAUUGCGAGCUCGACUUUUGAAAUCAUCCCACGUGAUCCUCCUGCCAUCUACCAGCCAUCCUUUUUGAUCUUGAAGGUCUUAUGCCUCAGAUUGUGUAACUACAGGAUGAAGGAAGGCCACUCAACCCACACUUGGACAUGAUGUUCUUUUUGAGGGGAGUCUCUCUGAUGCUUGGAAUGAAUCCUGCUGAAUCAAUGCUGAUGCUUGGAGAUCUUCAAGUCUUUUCCCUUUUUCCCAUUGCUCAUGAUGUCUAUAUAACCUCCAAACAUGCAUCCCACUCCUCUGCCGAAAGACCAUUUUUUUAUAUCUUCAGUGAUGGUCUAGGCCAGGUUAAUUGACUUUUCUUUUUUCUUAAGCCAACUAAAGUCCUCACCACAAA